AACUUCAUGAACAAAAAUGAAGUAUAAAACUCAGUUUUAGCCAUGCAUUUCGGAAUCCCGAGUCUAGCUUAAUUACUUCAUUAUUGAUUGUUUGAGAGUUCAUUGUCGUGAUGGAUGAUGCUUGAGGUUUCUAGUUUCUAGAGUCUGAUUCCUUAUGAAAACUUUACCAUUAGACCUUGAUUCAAAAGUUUACUAAUUGCUGUUUUCCACCCUGUUACCAGAUCUAAUUCUUUCCAAGGCAAAUUGUUGAAGCAUAAUCUUGAUUCAGAAGUUGUGGAUGCUCUUAAGGAUCUAAGAAAUAAAUUAUCCGAGAAGGGACCGAAUUAGCUAAUCUGAUGCUCCUCAGGUUUCGCUUUGAUCUUGAAAUACAUACAGUUACAAACGAAAGAGCACCGCAUGUUUCGAUUCCGAGCAAUUUAUGAGGUGAGAAUUUAAAAGAAUGUUAUGCCAGAGGCUUACAAGGUCACUAAUGAGCUGAUUGCAAAAUUCAAUCUUGUUGGCCACCUCAACCAGAAUAAGAUAUAAUUUAGGUAGAGAGUUAAGCUGCAAAGUUGAAGAGAAUAUUGCAGUAGCAAGUGUAUUUUCUUAUGUAUGGUAUAUUGUAUAUCUAUAUAUAUAUAUAUAUGUAUGCACAGCAUUUUGUUCUUUCCAUGUAUAAAUUGUAAACAAGAUUAGCCUUUAUGCAUCCAGUCAGCACACACACAUUUGUUAUGUAAUUGCUGAUCUUUUGGUUUUUAUCUAAUAAUUUAGGAGUUGAAAUUCAUCAUGUGAUUAAUUUAGUGUGUGGUAGGAAAUUUUUUUUACAUAUUAUGAACAAAAUAUAAAGCUUAUGAUUUGAU
rnacentral:lncRNA from 1 species